GAUGAACGCUGGCGGCGUGCCUCAAACAUGCGAGUCGAGCGGGGCUAUGUAAUAUCGCAAGGUAGAACAUAGCCUAGCGGCGAACGGGUGAGUAACACGUGGGUAACCUGCCUGGAAGACAGGGAUAACGAUUCGAAAGGGUCGCUAAUACCUGAUAAUAUCCUUUCAUCGCAUGGUGAUAGGAAGAAAGGGGAAACCCGCUUUCAGAUGGGCCCGCGUCCCAUCAGCUAGUUGGUAAGGUAAAGGCUUACCAAGGCGACGACGGGUAGCCGGUCUGAGAGGAUGUACGGCCACACUGGGACUGAGAUACGGCCCAGACUCCUACGGGAGGCAGCAGUUGGGAAUCUUAGGCAAUGGACGAAAGUCUGACCUAGCGACGCCGCGUGAGGGAAGAAGGCCUUCGGGUUGUAAACCUCUGUCAUGGGGGAAGAAGGAAGUGACGGUACCCCAAGAGGAAGCCCCUGCUAACUACGUG
rnacentral:rRNA from 1 species